CACAACUUUUCUGAUUCUUGGGAAGUCCUGAUGGGAGCACAGUGGGAAAUCACAGCUUGAACCUACUCCUGCUACAGCUACUUCCUUUGCUGACCUCUAAGCUCCAUGCAGGGCAGGGACCCUGUUGGCCUCGUUCCUUUCUUGUUCCCUUGGACUGGACCCAGCUCAUAGUAGGUACUCAGCAUUAGCACACAUCCCUCUGGUGCCUGCCCCAGCCCGGUCUUCUCAGCCCUUAAAUUUCCUCUUCUAACCGCGGUGUUCUCUUAGGCUUCACACUUCUUGGCCCAUCCUCUCCCCGGUCACAUAAGACCCUUCGCUGUGGUACUGUGGCUUGGCUAAGACUGAGUCUCCCUCCCACACAGUACCUCCUGGGAGACGCCGGAGGGCCUUCUCCAUUCAUCCUUGGAAAAUACAUGCUGCUUAGGUGGUCUCAGAAUUUUCUGGAGUGGAGAAGUUCUGCAAAUGACCAUCUCACUUCCUAGACUUCGACAAAAUGAAGCCAACAGUUCCUUUAUGAAACUUUUGGUUGCCAAGUACCGUUGAGACUUUCUGCUUAUGUGGUGCACGCCCAUUGUUAAUUAUACUGAUUAUUAUCGGUGCUGCCACAAGAAGUGAUAAGUCAAACUGGCUGAGAAGCUCGGGAAAUCCCCAUUUCAGGACAGAGAGGAAAUCACAGCCUGGGCUUCAACGGACCUUGAGUUUCUUCUUGCCUUCCGGGUUCCCUCCCUGGCUUCCUUCCCCCACACCCCAUCGCCCUCACACGCUGCUCAGGGAGAGUCUAGCCCGGAGUGGUGAAGGGAUGAGUCAGGACUAGGACGGAAUCCUGAAGGACGACGACUCCUCCAGAUGGCGCCUGCACAUGGAUCGCAGGGCAGCUCUGGAUUCUGCUGCACAGCCUGGCACUCAGGUGGGACAGGAUCCAUGGUGGGGAAGAGCGAAUGGUGCUUUCGCAGGCUUUGAGCUUCCUGACUUCUAAUGCGAGUUGUAAAAGUUAAACACCAUUGGCCAUUAGAAAAAUGCAAAUUAAAACAACACCGAGGGUGUCACUUUACCCCAGAAAGCAUGG